rnacentral:lncRNA from 1 species
UAAUAACAGUAAUGUAUUAUGUUCUAUCAAAAUAGUAUUGGAAAAGGCUUCACUUAAAACUGAAGGAAAUACUUAUUAAUCAUGGGAAAAGAUAGUCUGGAAAAUGUAUAAUUCCAUUGAUGUUUAUUUGCACAGGUGAAUUCUUGAUAUUGUAACUCAGAUCCUUGAGAAGUAUCCAUUUUUUGUCUAAUUGAGGUAAAAACUAGGCCGUGUGAAGAAAUUUCAUAAAGUAACUUGUAUCUUUGUAUGUUUUAAACUAAAUGUAGCUCUGUGGUUACAAACUGUGAUUUUUGUCUUCAAGACCUGAAGAAUCCUUUGUGCUUCAGUGUGUAUCUG